rnacentral:rRNA from 1 species
AUUGAACGCGGGCGGCAGGCCUAACACAUGCAAGUCGAGCGAGCGGCGGACGGGUGAGUAAUGUCUGGGAAACCGCCUGAUGGAGGGGGAUAACUACUGGAAACGGUAGCUAAUACCGCAUACCAUCAGAUGUGCCCAGAUGGGAUUAGCUAGUAGGUGGGGUAACGGCCCACCUAGUCGACGAUCCCUAGCUGGUCUGAGAGGAUGACCAGCCACACUGGAACUGGGACACGGUCCGUACUCCUACGGAAGGCAGCAGUGGGGACUAUUGCACAAUGGGCGCAAGCCUGAUGCAGCCAUGCCGCGUGUGUGAAGGAGUCCUUCGGGUUGUAAAGCACUUUCAGCGGGGAGGCGUUACCCGCAGAAGAAGCACCGGCUAACUCCGUGCCAGCAGCCGCGGUAAUAC